rnacentral:rRNA from 1 species
UACGAAGGGGGCGAGCGUUGUUCGGAUUUACUGGGCGUAAAGGGCGCGUAGGCGGCGCCGCAAGUCGCGUGUGAAAGCCCCGGGCUCAACCUGGGAGGUGCGCGCGAGACUGUGGUGCUGGAGUUCGGGAGAGGAGCGUGGAAUUCCCAGUGUAGAGGUGAAAUUCGUAGAUAUUGGGAAGAACACCGGUGGCGAAGGCGGCGCUCUGGACCGAGACUGACGCUGAGGCGCGAAGGCGUGGGGAGCAAACAGGAUUAGAUACCCUGGUAGUCCACGCGGUAAACGAUGUGUGCUAGACGUUGGGGAGCCUAGCUCUUCGGUGUCGCAGCUAACGCUUUAAGCACACCGCCUGGGGAGUACGGCCGCAAGGUUAAA